ACAUAUUGAAUGAACUAAAAGUCUCAUUCUUUGAGAUUUUGAGAUAGAUCUACACUCUUCUUCUUCUUCAAUCAAGAGAUAAUUUCUAGAAAUUAAAGAAGUGCAUGUCUAGAAGUUCCAAUUCAAUUCAUUUCUCUUUUCUUUCCUAGAUCAAGAUGGCCAAACAAAAAGGACAAACCAAAUACUAGAGGAUAUGUUAUGUGUCUAUGCAUUAGAUUUUAAUGGAAGUUGGAGCAAAUACUUGCGUUUGACUUGCUUACAACAAUUACUACUAGAUGAACAUCGAAAUAACUAUGUAUGAGACGCCAUAGGGGCAAUCUUGUAGGUCGCCAAUUGGUUAGCAUGAAGCAAGAGAAAAUAAUAUAUUGGAAGAAAUGUUCCAAGGAAUAACCCAGUUGAUAAGAAUGCAGACAAACCAAAUUCGUCAAAAAUGCUACCAUGACAAGUAUUAUAGACACCUUGAGUUUAUGUUAUCAAGUGUUCAUUAAAGUGACAUUGAUGAAGGAUGUUAUGAGAUUUGGAAAGAAAGGAAAAUUAAGGCCACGUUUUGUAAGACCUUACCAAUUGUCAAGUGUGUAGGAGUUGUCGUUGCUUGAAGAGAUGUCUACUAUUCAUAAUGUCUUUCAUGUAUCUAUGUUAAGAGAAUACAUACCAGACCCUGAUCAUGUGUUAAAGCCACAGACCAUAAGAAAAAACUAGUAGAAAUGCUUGACCGUACAGUAAAGAAGCUUCGCAACAAGGAAAUUGCACUGGUAUAGGUCUUAUGGUGAAACCAUACAGUAGAAUAGGCAAUAUGGUAAGUUUAAAAUGAUAUAAAGGCACGAUGUCCCGAGUUUUUCUAAGUUUCAAGAACAAAAUUUUUAUAAGGUAGGGGGAUUGUAACGCCCCACCAUUCUAAGUUAUUCAUGUUAUGUGUUGUAGGGGCUACACGUGAUUAAUUAUGUCUUACUAACAACACAUUUGAAGUUAUUUGCAGGUGGCUAUGAUGGGUGUACCAGUACUUUUUAUUGACCUAAAGAUUAAGUAUGAAUGUAACUGAUGUAUUGAUCAUGAAUUCAUAUUUUAAUUGAGUAUUGAUAUGAUAAUAUUAUGUUACUUGAAAGCAUAUAAUAAUUUAUAAAUUUUGAAGUACAAAUAUUCUAGGAUA